AAUCUGUAGCCAUUACACAGAAAUGUAAUUAGUUGAUAGAAUUUUAAAUGGAUGUACAUCACAGAUCACCGGAAAUUAAAAUAGAGAGGAUUUCAACCAAACGAUCAUUUUAUAGAAAAAAACUGAGAUAAAUUGCAGCAUUGCUUGGUUUCUCUUUACAUAUCAUAAAGACGUUAAGGCCACUUGCUACACAGGAAACUCGGCUUUCCUUAUGCUGUGAGGACUGUUUGUCAAUGACCUUAUAAGACCUUAAAAGCAAUGAGGAGUCUGGUGGCACCUUAAAGACUAACAGAUUUAUUUGGACAUAAGCUUUUGUGGGUAAAAAAACCCCACUUCCUCUAGUCUUUAAGUUGCCACUGGACUCCUCAUUGUUUUUGUGGAUACAGACUAACAAGGCUACCCCUCUAAUACUUACAAGACCUUGAUGCUAGUGAAGAAGGGAGGUUCAGUGCUUAGGGUUGUAGCCUACUAUUUGGAAGACCAGAGUUAAAGCCUCUGCUCUGCCACAGACUUCCUGUGUGAUCUUGGACAAGUCACUCUGUGCCUCACUUCCCCAUCUGUAAAAUGGGCAUAAUAGUACCUCACAUGGAUGUUGUUAGGAUAAAUACUUUAUAAAGCUUUUGAGGCACUCAGAUACAAUAGUAAUGGGUGGGGGGGCAGAUAAAUACAAUAGAUUAGAUAGACAGACCGACCUAUAGUGAUGACACACCUGCAGGCAAUUUUCAAAGAAAAAAACAGUUCUAAAUCAUAGCAACCAUGAUUCUGCAAUAGGAUUGUCUGUAAGGAUAUUGCACUAUUUUGGACUCUGGUCACAACUGGGAGCAGUGGUUCCUACCUAUAGUGACCCAUGUACAUAAUAAACCACAGACAACAUAAGUAACCAUUUAAAAAGAAACAAUAUAGAUUAAAAAAGAUCAAGAACUGGGGGGCAAGAACAAAGGAAGAAACUGCCCCCCCCACACACACACUCACCCCCCUCAGGUUGUGGGCCUGAGAAUGAGUGAUAGGAUGAACAGUGAUACUGUAAAUUAGGACAGAUAAAUAUGUAGAGUUUGAAAGGAGAGAGAGCCUGUGGGUAAGGUACUGGGCUGACACUCAGGAGCUCUGGAUUCAGUUCUUGAUUCUUCCAGACCUUGGACAUGUCACUUAGAGACUUGAGGCACAGAGUGUUUAUCUGUAAGUGCAGAUGAUAAUACUGUAGCCAACCAGGCCUUGCAGCGGUCAGGCCUAGUGGUUGAAAUGAGCAUUUUCCCUGCUGGUUACAGCUGGAUCCAGGGUGGGUAGAGUCCAGGAAUGAGCCAAGGGUCAGUGCCACAGGGAUAGAAGCCAAAUGUCAGAGGCUGAAGGUCAACCAGAAGCAUGAGCCAGAGGCAGAGCUGGGGAUUGAAACCAGAAGUCAGAAGCGGAGGGGAAUAGGGGCUGGAACAGGGACUAGUAGCAAGCUGAAGCCGGAUUGGAAGCAGGUUGGAGCAGGACUGGAACACACACAAGUGCAGCUGUGGGCAUAGUACACACUGAGCAAGCUGCUGAUCUUUAUUUGUGUCACAUCGGCUUCAUCAUGCAAGGCUAUGACAUCCACUUGCUUCAUUCAUUUUUAGCUAAGUUUUUUUUUGUUCUUUAUUAGAUCCUUUCACUCAGGCUAGUAUCCUUAAGGACAUGCAACGUGGCUUUUUUUGCAGUAUUCCAUUUUCCGGACAGUCUCACUAAU